AUGUAAAUGAAUCACUGAAGGAUCGUCUUAGGGCAGGUACACGAAGCAGCAAAUCAUACUUCAGACUUUGAUCAGAAACUGCUAUUGACUCUCCUUCAAGUCACAACGAGAGUAUUCUGGUCUUUAAAGAAGAGUCACACGUUUCCCUGUCAGCUCAGCCAAGAGUGGACACACAGGACAGGUCAUGAUGGCAGUGCCACAGUGGCCUGUUGUGGUCGUUGUGCUGCUCCUUGCCUGCGCUGGACUCCAUUGCUCCUCUUCCCCAUCUGUGUGUCCAGAGUCCUGCACCUGUCAGAAAGCUCCUCUGUUGAACUGUUCGUCCUCCGGCCUCUCCUCAGUGCCUCAGUAUAUCCAAGACUCUGUCACUGAGCUGGACUUUUCUCACAAUCGCCUGUAUUCUGUAACACUCCACCGGCCACAUCGUAACCUCAGGAAUGUAUGGCUGGGAAACAACACUAUCACACACUUGUCUCUUUGCAUAGACACGAAUCUGGGAAAGCAGUCUGACAGAGACAGACAUCCAAAUCACUUGAGACUUUGGCAUAGACGCAGAUGUGUAUCUUGGGCCCCCACCCUGCAGCUGCUAUCUGUUGAGAGGAAUCAGCUGGUGCAACUCCCGGAGGGGCUGGAAGGUAGUCCAUCCUUAUGGAUUCUGCAGCUCUCCUACAACAGGAUCUCAGCUCUUGAACCAAGAGCCCUUAGCCGACUUCAAC